UACAGAGGUCUCAAGCGUUGUUCGGAUUCAUUGGGCGUAAAGGGUGCGUAGGCGGCGCGGUAAGUCGGGUGUGAAAUCUCGGAGCUUAACUCCGAAACUGCAUUCGAUACUGCCGUGCUUGAGGACUGGAGAGGAGACUGGAAUUUACGGUGUAGCGGUGAAAUGCGUAGAUAUCAGGAGGAACACCAGAAGCGAAGGCGGCUCACUGGCCCAACACUGACGCUGAGGCGCGAAAGCGUGGGGAGCAAACAGG
rnacentral:rRNA from 1 species